UACGGAGGGAGCUAGCGUUAUUCGGAAUUACUGGGCGUAAAGCGCACGUAGGCGGCUUUGUAAGUAAGAGGUGAAAGCCUGGAGCUCAACUCCAGAAUAGCCUUUUAGACUGCAUCGCUUGAAUCAUGGAGAGGUGAGUGGAAUUCCGAGUGUAGAGGUGAAAUUCGUAGAUAUUCGGAAGAACACCAGUGGCGAAGGCGGCUCACUGGACAUGUAUUGACGCUGAGGAGCGAAAGCGUGGGGAGCGAACAGG
rnacentral:rRNA from 1 species